CCUACGGGAGGCAGCAGUGGGGAAUUUUGGACAAUGGGGGAAACCCUGAUCCAGCCAUUCCGCGUGAGUGAAGAAGGCCUUCGGGUUGUAAAGCUCUUUCGGCAGGAACGAAACGGCGGACUCUAACAUAGUCUGUCAAUGACGGUACCUGAAGAAGAAGCACCGGCUAACUACGUGCCAGCAGCCGCGGUAAUACGUAGGGUGCGAGCGUUAAUCGGAAUUACUGGGCGUAAAGCGUGCGCAGGCGGUUUUGUAAGACAGGGGUGAAAUCCCCGGGCUUAACCUGGGAACUGCACUUGUGACUGCAAGGCUGGAGUACGGCAGAGGGGGAUGGAAUUCCGCGUGUAGCAGUGAAAUGCGUAGAUAUGCGGAGGAACACCGAUGGCGAAGG
rnacentral:rRNA from 1 species